GAUGAACGCUGGCGGCGUGCUUAACACAUGCAAGUCGAACGAUGAAGCCCAGCUUGCUGGGUGGAUUAGUGGCGAACGGGUGAGUAACACGUGAGUAACCUGCCCUUGACUCUGGGAUAAGCGCUGGAAACGGCGUCUAAUACCGGAUACGAGCUUCCACCGCAUGGUGAGUUGCUGGAAAGAAUUUCGGUCACGGAUGGACUCGCGGCCUAUCAGGUAGUUGGUGAGGUAACGGCUCACCAAGCCGACGACGGGUAGCCGGCCUGAGAGGGUGACCGGCCACACUGGGACUGAGACACGGCCCAGACUCCUACGGGAGGCAGCAGUGGGGAAUACUGCACAAUGGGCGCAAGCCUGAUGCAGCAACGCCGCGUGAGGGACGAAGGCCUUCGGGUCGUAAACCUCUUUUAGCAGGGAAGAAGCGAAAGUGACGGUACCUGCAGAAAAAGCACCGGCUAACUACGUG
rnacentral:rRNA from 1 species